UACGGCCGCUACUACCAGGGCUACCUACCGUCGUUGCCGCUCGAUCUCUACCUCUGAAACGAGUUCCACGGCCGGAUGUAGAAACCCCAAUUGUCCGGCUCGUACCGCGCCUUCCAGCACGAGUGGUUGCCAUGUGCCGUAUCGCCGUUGGGAAUAGGUGAGUACCUGGAUAGACUGAGGUAGAGAAGAAGGCGGUACCUAGCCUCGAGCUGGUACGGGCGACCACGGAAGCGUCAACAUCAUCUUUGAUCUCUCUCCCUCGCUCCCCCACGGACACAGCCUGCUACAGGACUGGUUGCGCCCAAGGUAGUAGCAGCUGCUCGACUGUGCGUUCUCUCCCCCCGUCGAUUUCCCUUUUCCUUUCGUCUCAAUGGAGCUUACGGAAGUCGGGUUAUGCGGGUAUCGGACACCCGGAAGCUCGCCGAUUGUUCGAGUCCGGGUAUAAGAGCUUCGAUGGAAGGAUCCCAAAGCGAAGAACAUUGGGGGGUCACGCGGGGGGAAAGAGGGUGAAGGGGGUGAGGGGUGGUGUUCUGGCGGCGGCGGCGUCCUCCUCCUCCUCUUCGUCGUCCGCGCUCUUCCUCUAGAGCGCUCCUCCGCUGGCUGGUACUCCCGGUUCGCUCGGCCGUCUAGAGCGGCAGAGCGCGAGCACGGGGGGCAACGACGACGCCGACGCUACCCCGCUCGCUGAGAUCGGCCAGGCCCUACCUUGCGCUCCACGGCGGGCUGCUGCGGACGCCGCCGCCGCUACCGCUACCGCCCCGUACAAAACAGAGCACACUGGAAUCUAGCUAACUACAUAGCAUACCCGAAUCCAUAGAGCACAAGGCCAAGAGGGCAUGGCACGAGCAGCACGAACGCGCGGGCACGCACCCAGCAGACAGAGUAAACCCAAAGGGACGGUGCCACUUCACCUUCUUCUUCGCGUACUCCUCCGACUUCUCCUUCGCGGCUUUCUACUCCGUCGCUAGGUUAACAUAGUCCUCAAAACGAUAGUACUGGUUAGAUAGCUUGGCAUACUUGAGACAAAACCUCGAAAUAAACGACGAUUAUGAGCCGGUAGUUCUAAAACUAGGGCCUACCGUCGGACCAGACUUACACACCUGUACCUAUGUAAGACGAAACCUACGAUAUUCAGGACGAAGAACU
rnacentral:rRNA from 1 species